AAUAUCCAACAAUGAGAUUGAAGAACUAUUCUCAACUCACUCUUCAAACUUUCCUUGUAACUAACUUCCCCCAAGACUAAGUGAAUGAUGUGUAAUGUGUACCAUUUGCUCUCUUACCCAGUAGUGUUAGAAAUCAUUUGUGGGAAAUAUUUUUGUAUCCAGAUAUUUCGGAGGAAGAAGGAGGAAGAGGAAUAUAAUCACUGAAAUGUAACUCAGGGGAUUUGAUAAAAGGAAGGUUUACUCAGAGUAAAAUCUGGAUGGAGAAGAAAGGGACAGUGGAGCUGAAGAAACAAGAUCACUUAGCGUCAUUGCACAGUGAACACCUUCAGAGAUGAAGAGUCUUCCCAGUGGAAGUCUUACAUACCUCCUCCCCAAGGUGUUUCCCUGAGAUGCAGAAAGGAAGCUGAAGAGGAAUAGCAAGAAGGGAUGAAAAAGCCUUCUUCAGUGAACAGUGCAAAGAAAUGGAGGAAAAUGAUAGAAUGGGAAAGACUAGAGAUCUCUUCAAGAAAGUUGAAGAUAGCAGGGGAACAUUUCAUGCAAAGAUGGGAACAAUAAAGGGCAGAAAUGGUAUGGAUCUAAUAGAAGCAGAAGGUAUUCAUAAGAGGUGGCAAGAAUACACAGAAUAACCAUACAAAAAAGAUCUUAAUGACCUGGAUAAUCAUGAUGGUGUGGUCAGUCACCUAGAGCCAGAUAUCCUGGAGUGUGAAAUCAAAUGGACCUCAGGAAGAAUCACUACAAGCAAAACUUGUGGAGGUGAUGGAAUUCCAGUUGAACUAUUUCAAAUCUUUAAAAUGUUGCUGUUAAAGUCCUGCACUCAAAAUGCCAGCAAAUUUGGAAAAUUCAGCAGUGGCCAUAGGACUGGAAAAAGUCAGUUUUUAUUCCAAUUCCAAAGAAUGGCAGUGCCAAAGAAUGUGCAAAUUACCGCACAGUUUCACAUGGUAGCAAGGUAAUGCUCAAAAUCUUUCAAGCUAGGCUUCAACAGUACAAGAACCUGGAACUUGCAGGUGUACAAGCUGAGUUUAUAAAAAGCAGAGGAACUAGAGGUCAAAUUGCCAGCAACCAUUGGAUCCAAGAAAAAGCAAGGGUAUUCCAAAAAAUAUCUACUUCUGCUUCAUUGACUACACAAAAGCCUUUGGCUGUGUGGAUCACAACAAACUCUGGACAAUUUUCAAAGUGAUGCAAAUACUAGACCAUCUUACCUAUCUCUUGAGAAAUCGGAAGAAGCAACAGUUAGAACUGAACAUAGAACAACAGACUGGUUCAAAAUUGGGAAAGGAGUAUUUCAAGUCUGUAUAUUUAACCUGUUUAUUUAACCUCUGUGCAGAGUACAUCAUGCAAAAGGCUGGGCUAGAUGAAUAACAAGCUCGAAUCAAGAUUGCUGGGAGAAUUAUCAACAAAUAUACAAAUGAUACCACUCUAAUGGCAAAAGUGAAGAAGAACUAAAGAGCUGUUUGAUGAGGGUUGAAAGAGAAGAGUGAACAGCUGGCUUAAAACUCAGCAUUCAAAAAACUAGUAUCAUGGCAUCUGGUCCCAUCACUCAUGGCAAAUAGAUGAGGAAAAAUGGAAACAAUGACAGAUUUUCUUUUCAUGGGCUCCAGAAUCAUUGCGGGUGGUGACUGCAGCCAUGAAAUCAGAAGAUGCUUGCUCCUUGGAAGAAAAGCUAUGACAAACCUAGGCAGCAUAUUAAAAAACAUACACAUCACUUUGCAGAAAAAGGUCCAUCUAUUCAAAGCUAUGAUUUUUUUUCCAUUAGUCAUGUAUGGAUGUGACAUUUUGACCAUAUAGAAGGCUGAGCAAUGAAGAAUUGAUGUGUUCGAGCUUUGGUGCUAGAAAGGCUCUUAAGAGUCCCCUGGACAGCCAGGAGAUAAAACCAGUCAAUCGUAAAGGAAAUAAACCCUGAAUAUUCACUGGAAAAUGGAUGCUAAAACUGAAGCUCCAAUACUUUGGCCACCUGAUGCAAAGAGCGGGCUCACUGGAAAAGAGCCUGAUGUUGGCAAAGACUGAGGACAGUAGGAGAAGAGCACUGGAGGAUGAGAUGGCUGGAUGGCAUCACCAACUCAAUGGACAUGAGUUUGAACAAACUCCAGAAGAUAGUGAAGGACAGGAAGCCUGGUGUGCUGCAGCCCACGCGGUUGCAAGAGUUGGACAGGACUUAGCAACUUCUCAUUCUGAGAAGAGAAUGAAGAUCAGAGGGAUGAUCAGCUGGAGGUGAUCACUGAUGAUGAAAAAGAGGCCGAGGGACGAGGGGAUGGCAGAGAUGGCUUUCACGGUUUACCCUGCUUCUCCCUCAUCCUCCUGUAUAGCAGUAGCAACAUCGGAGAAUUGCUGCUAGGGAUGGUAGAGAGUGGAAGGGACACUGAGCAUGUGAAAAUAUUUCUGCAGGUGACCAAAUAGAUAAUAUUAGAAGUAGUUCUAACAUUGAGCAACUUUUGUUUCUUUCCUACUAUGUACAAGUCUCCAUGCUAAGGACUGACGAAAAGACGAGUAAAGUACCAUUCUUCCUUUAAGUCAUUUGAGACCCUAUGAUGAAGGUGGGAUGCAUUUAAUGGCAUUUCUCAUAUUAAGUCACCAGAUUAAAAAAUAAAUUGAAG
ensembl:lncRNA